ACCACAGUAUUCUGAACGCGAAUAGUAUAGCUAAAUGAGGCACUCGGAUAGGAUGGAGAAAACCAAAAGCUGGCGUGUGAAAGGGCAGGUGAAAAAAAAAAAACUAAUAGAACGGGAAGGGUUCAUGAAAAUGGAGAAAAGAAAAUUGAAGUGGAUGAACUGGCAAAAGAUUUUGAAGCAGGGCAAUUAACAGAAUAAUCAAGAAGAGAAAUACAGCAAAAGGACCUGGAGAAAAGAACUGUAGCAUCAAUGAAGAGAAAGGUUGAAGGCCAUGUUUUGUAGCUGAAGCACUGGAAAUAAAUGAAGAAUAAGCACAGCACGUGGUGCCAGGACAUUGCAGGGCAUCACCCACUCAAGCUCAUACUGGAAAAGAUGAUCCAUGGUCCAACCACUGAUGACGUCACUUUUGGUUUCCGGUCUCCUGAACCCACCUUACACUUUUCAGCCCUUAAAACUGGCUCCUCUGCCAUCUUGAGGCAGUCUAUCAUCAACUCCCAUCUUAAAAGAUAUACAUUUAUUUUGUUUUGUUGAAAUCUUUUUACAAUUAAACGGUUAUGAUGUU